AUGACGACCACCGCGGCAGGGUCGGAGUCGUCGUCCUCGUCGACCACGGCGGCGGCGGCGGUGCUGCCGGUGGGGUUCCGGUUCCGUCCGACGGACGAGGAGCUGGUGCGGCACUACCUCAAGGCCAAGAUCGCGGGGCGGGCGCACCCGGACCUGCUGGCGAUCCCGGACGUGGACCUGGCGGCGGUGGAGCCGUGGGACCUGCCCGCCCGCUCCGUCAUCAAGUCCGACGACCCCGAGUGGUUCUUCUUCGCCCGCCGCGACCGCCCCAAGUACCCCGGCAAGUCCUCCCGCUCCUGCCGCUCCACCGCCGCCGGAUACUGGAAGGCCACCGGCAAGGACCGCCUCAUCCGGGCGCCCGGCCCCGGCGGCUGCAGGGGGAAGGGCGCCCUCAUCGGCGUGAAGAAGACCCUGGUGUUCCACCGCGGCCGCGCCCCACGCGGCGCACGCACCCCGUGGAUCAUGCACGAGUACACCGCCACCGACCCAAACCCCCAGUCCCAGUCCCAAUCCCAAUCUCAAUCUGCAGGCCCCCAAAAUGAUAGCUUUGUUCUGUACCGCCUGUUCAACAAGCAGGAUGAAGAGACCCCGGCGCCCAUUUCAGGACCCCCGUCCACGUCGCCUCCAGCCAAUCCGCCGCUACAGCAAGCCGACGACACGGCCAGCGCCUCCAUGGUGGAAGACAAGGCCUCGCCAUCUGAUUCGAGCCAGCUGACCCCGACCAAUGCAACCACCGACCACUCCUCCACGGCCCAUCUUCCUGCAGCCGCCGGCGAUGCAGAGCAGACAGCGGAUCAGGAAGCUGCUUUUACUGCUUCGUUGGAGCAGCUUCCAGACAUACAGCUACAGGCCGAGCAGCAAAGACACGAUGAGUUCCCUAUAUUCAAUUCCCCGAUGCGUCCUUACACGGAUCUCCCGUUCGUCGGCAACAUGGGUGAUGAGCAGGAAGACUUUUCGAUGUAUCUGAACAACACCAUAGGUGAGCAGGAUGUGCAAGACAUGUUGCUCAAUCCAGCCGGCUCUACUACAGCUCCUCUUCCGUUCUGGUCCGCUAGCUCAGGUUCAUGGACUCCUUAUGAUCUCCAAGAUAUGGGGGCAGCACCUUGGACGCAGCAGCAGCCUACAGCUCCAGCAGAUUUGAUGGACCCGCAACAAGGGAUCGCGGCAAGGAGGAUCCGGCUUGCGUACGCUGUUGAGAGGGCAUCGGCGUCUCAGCCUGUAUUAGCUUGUCACUCGGAAAGCGAAGAAGGUGAGGGCGAAUCAGCAGGCUGUAGCACAGAGAGUUCAUCCAGCAACCAUGAGGAGGAUCAUGUCGAUGAUGCCGUUUUCCAAACCAUGGCUGGAGAUCUGAUGCAUAACAUGGCUCCUGCUCAAGCACUAGUAGUUUCUCCGGUGCAAGUUGCAGACAAGCUUGAGCAUCUAUCAUUCAAUCUCAAUGAUAACAACAUAUUGGAACAAGAAGAUGCCAAGCUGCCUGGUGGAGCUGUUCUGAAGCAGGAUUCCGGUCGAAACGGGCACGACCAGGACGGACUCGUGCGCAACAGUGACUGCGUGCCUGGCCCUGGAGAUUCAUCUUCAGAAACAGCCGUGCGGAGAUCCCUCUGGCUGGCGCUCCUGGUGAUGGCCCCUCUGCUUGUGCUUGUCUUGGCUGGUGUCUGGAGGUCACUGAGCUACCGGCCGGUCUAA
rnacentral:rRNA from 1 species